rnacentral:rRNA from 1 species
ACGCUCGACACCUACGGGGGCAGCAGUGGGGAAUAUUGCACAAUGGGGGAAACCCUGAUGCAGCGACGCCGCGUGAGCGAAGAAGUAUUUCGGUAUGUAAAGCUCUAUCAGCAGGGAAGAAACUGACGGUACCUGACUAAGAAGCACCGGCUAAAUACGUGCCNGCAGCCGCGGUAAUCUGAGCGGGCUGGCAAGGC